GACGAACGCUGGCGGCGUGCUUAACACAUGCAAGUCGAACGGAAAGGCCCUGCUUUUGUGGGGUGCUCGAGUGGCGAACGGGUGAGUAACACGUGAGUAACCUGCCCUUGACUUUGGGAUAACUUCAGGAAACUGGGGCUAAUACCGGAUAGGAGCUCCUGCUGCAUGGUGGGGGUUGGAAAGUUUCGGCGGUUGGGGAUGGACUCGCGGCUUAUCAGCUUGUUGGUGGGGUAGUGGCUUACCAAGGCUUUGACGGGUAGCCGGCCUGAGGGUGACCGGCCACAUUGGGACUGAGAUACGGACCAGACUCCUACGGGAGGCAGCAGUGGGGAAUAUUGCACAAUGGGCGGAAGCCUGAUGCAGCAACGCCGCGUGCGGGAUGACGGCCUUCGGGUUGUAAACCGCUUUCGCCUGUGACGAAGCGUGAGUGACGGUAAUGGGUAAAGAAGCACCGGCUAACUACGUG
rnacentral:rRNA from 1 species